rnacentral:lncRNA from 1 species
CAUAUUGCACCAACGAAAUAUGGAGGUCAAGUCAAGUCAAGUCAACUCGUUUGCCGUCGCAGACGGGCUCGUUGUUAAACGCACGUCACGUGGACUCCGAUUUCCCUUUCUUUUCGUUUCGUGCUGAUCAUCAGUCUACGCUUGUCGCGCACCUAAACGUGCAACCAAUACCUUCUUCUACGAAGCACAUCGGUUCGCCUCCUUGUGCGGUGGAGGUGGCGCCUCUUCGUCACCUCCGCCUCAUCUGCUGCUUCGCAGUGGAGCUCGACAUCCGACGUGCGUUCACCAGUCGAGAGCAAGUGGAGCCGUGUCAUC